AUGAAAUGCAUAGCGAAACAUAUAUGACUUGUUGGAAACGAGGCUAGCAAGCCCAUUGCUUCCUCUGGUCUUGGCUUUCAGACAUGAUCAUUAACAGGACUGAUCUGCAUAUACAAAGUGCUGAGCGGCACAUAGCAGGAGAUAAAAUAGCGCAGCCACGCCGCCGUUACCAUGGCGGCCCUUCACCCCCACUUUGCUGCCUGCGCUGUAAUUAACCGUGCUCAGCAAUUUUCCUCCUCUGUAUUGGGCUCAUGUUUUGCUUAUGUGCAUAAGAAACAGGCUAAUUCUCUCAAAUGAGAAUCACUACUGAAUUGCGAUUCAAAGACAAAAAAAAAAAGAAAAACACAAGGCCAAGCGAAUGAUGGCCAAAUAAUAAGCAUGCCCCGGCAUCCAGUAAAUCCACUUAGCGGUUCUGUAAACACUUGAAAAAGAAGCCUGUUGAGUUCUUAUCUCCAGAAUAAAAACCAAGGGCAACACAGGGGUGGAUAUCGCAAAUCACAUUCCGAGGACAUGAAAUUAAGCCGUCCUCUCAAAACAUUUGGCCAUUGCACAGUCUAACCUUGAAACCGCAUUUAUCUUCUUUGUCAGGGGAAGCCAUAACCUCCCCCAAGCUCCUCGAAAAAAAAGAGCGCCUUCGCGUGACUACAAUGGCUCCGGCGAGCACCCCAAGGAACCUUACCUGCCCGUGGAACUUCUACUGGAAUCUUCCAUCAUGCAGAAGAUCACUGUCAAGUCGGCCUGCUAUCAGCCAGUAGGCCAAUGCGAGGUCCCAAGAAUGGCCGGCAUAUGGUUGAGCUCUACCGAGGAACCUGACUGAGGUGACCAGCGGGAGUUGUGGUCGUGCCGGAUGGCGUCCACCGCGGCACAAUUUGAGGACCACCACAACUAUUUUAGCGGCUUUAAGGGGCCAUUCGUCGGACUACAUUUCUAACUUCGCCAUGCUAACAUGUUUGCUAUUUUUGCUUAGAUGGAGAUACGGGGGGGUCAAGCUAGCCCUCGCAACGGAGCUAAUGAACCAAGGUGGCGGACAUUAACGCGGGGGGAGGCGCCCUGUCAGUUGGACCGACCCGACGCUUCCCUCCACGGCAAGCUGGCCACACAUGGCCGCUCGACCGAGGGGAGGCUGCUUCCAAACAUCGCCGCGAACUGAAUUGAAACACCGUCUUCGCUCCAGUUACCUUCUCGAACUGUGAAAAGGGGGAAAGGACUGUGGCAGUUGAAGGGUCACCAUGUUGUGUGAAGUUUUCCUGGAGCAGCAGCGCUGCCGGGCAGGAGCCAGCGAGUGUGGCAAGAGCGGAAGUGGCGUCCUGCUGGGAGACGCAGUCUGGUGUGGAGUCUUAAGGAUGAACCAUUCCCCCUCUGCGCCCCGGCGCUGUAAAUUAAUGGCAACAAGGGCGCGGCAUUAGGAUGCAAAUGAAAAGACCUUCAAACGGCGUUCACAUUUGGAGCCAAAAUGGCGGUUAUUGCCGGAUGCCUCAGCUCAACUGCAGCGUCAGGCUAGUGA